UCCUGGUUAACCCAGGCAGUCUCGUUAGAGUUCCCACCUUUCGUGUUGGCAACUAACGAUAAGGGUUGCGCUCGUUGCGGGACUUAACCCAACACCUCACGGCACGAGCUGACGACAGCCAUGCAGCACCUGUAGAGAGACCCUUACGGGAAUAAACAUUUCUGCUUACGUCCUCCCUAUUUCAAACCUGGGUAAGGUUCUUCGCGUUGCAUCGAAUUAAACCACAUGCUCCACUGCUUGUGCGGGCCCCCGUCAAUUCUUUUGAGUUUCAACCUUGCGGCCGUACUCCCCAGGCGGUAUACUUAUCGCGUUCGCUUCGACACAGUCAGGGUUGAGCCCAACUACAUCAAGUAUACAUCGUUUACGGCAAGGACUAC
rnacentral:misc_RNA from 1 species